rnacentral:rRNA from 1 species
GCGUGAGUGAAGAAGGCCUUAGGGUUGUAAAGCUCUUUUGGCGGGGAAGAUAAUGACGGUACCCGCAGAAUAAGCUCCGGCUAACUUCGUGCCAGCAGCCGCGGUAAUACGAAGGGGGCUAGCGUUGUUCGGAAUCACUGGGCGUAAAGCGCACGCAGGCGGAUUGAUAAGUCAGGGGUGAAAUCCCGGGGCUCAACCUCGGAAUUGCCUUUGAUACUGUCUGUCUUGAGUCCGGGAGAGGUGAGUGGAAUUCCUAGUGUAGAGGUGAAAUUCGU